AAGGGGGCUUCUGGGAAAUAUUCUCUUAUAAAAUAGAAAGCAAAUUGAGGGAAAAGCCUUUUUGCCUCUUCCCUUGUCCUGCCUGCCUGUUUGGCAUGUGGUCAUGUGAUCCUGUGAUCCUAAGGGGACUCAUUUCCAACACAGUGUUGAUGGCAGAGCAGAGAAUGGAUACAGAUUAACAUCCACCAAAAGGAGAGGCAUGUUGGCCAGAGGCUGGGAAGGCUGCCAAUGUGAAGCUUGUGUUCGUCUCUCCCUGUGGAGUCAAGACAUUGAUCUCCAGCAUCCAUGGUUCUUCCAGCAUUGAUCUGUGACACCCACACAGAGUACUGAUGUCCAGCAAAAUCCACCUAAACCUGA